rnacentral:rRNA from 1 species
UACAGAGGUCUCAAGCGUUGUUCGGAUUCAUUGGGCGUAAAGGGUGCGUAGGCGGCGCGGUAAGUCGGGUGUGAAAUUUCGGAGCUUAACUCCGAAACUGCAUUCGAUACUGCGGUGCUUGAGGACUGGAGAGGAGACUGGAAUUCAUGGUGUAGCAGUGAAAUGCGUAGAGAUCAUGAGGAAGACCAGUGGCGAAGGCGGGUCUCUGGACAGUUCCUGACACUGAGGCACGAAGGCCAGGGGGAGCAAAACGGGG